CAAAAACAACAGAAGAACAGUACAGUACUUCAUUCAUAAUUCAAAAAGUAGAUAUAGAGCUUUCAUUAAUAACAAUAAAUGUGUGGUUACCCUGUGUAUCAAAUACAGUACACUAUCUCAACAGGAUGUUCACAGUAAGGGAGGAGCCACAAACCCUUGCGGUGAGGUAUCAGAGCUGCAAGAAGUGCCAGUGCUGAAACAAAAUUCCUGAGGAAAACAGUGGUUCAUAUUUUGAGAAUUAUACACCAUCUUUAUUCCUGUGUACCACGUACAUCGGGUGAGGUGGCAUUUGCUCAAAGGAAAAAGAUCUGCAUCAGCAUACUGCUGGUAAAUCAUCUACUGUACAGCAAUGUCCCAUUGCUUCACAGGACAAGGCUAGUGGGAGUGGCAAGUGGAAGGAGAGAAUACUGGUGGGGAGUUAGCACCUGAUGACGAGCGCGACGCGGCUGGUGUCUGGUCCCUCCAGCUCGUUAAGCAGGCCUACACAGCAGACUGGAGCGUGGCUAGGCCUACACAGCAGAAUGGAGCGUGGCUAGGCCUACACAGCAGAAUGGAGCGUGGCUAGGCCUACACAGCAGACUGGAGCGUGGCUAGGCCUACACAGCAGACUGGAGCGUGGCUAGGCCUACACAGCAGAAUGGAGCGUGGCUAGGCCUACACAGCAGACUGGAGUGCGGGCAUCUUCAUGCACUUCACAAGCAUUCCUUAACGCUCACUCCCCUCAAGCAGGGAUGGGGGGUGGGGAGGGAUCACAAACAGAGGGGCCAAGGGAGGAAUUUUCCAGUGCCACGACGAGAGACUCAAGCAGUGCCAUAUGAUAACCAAGUACAGUAGUGUCAAUGAGAGAGAACCUAGCAGGGCCAAUGGGAAAAAGCAGUGCCAAUGCAAGAUAAUCAAGGUGUACCAAUUUGACCUUGGUACACCUUGAUUAACUGUAACAAAUCAAACAGCGCCAAUGUUAAAAAAGUGUGAAGAGGAAACAAUAAAAAAAGUGCCAAUAUGAGACAGUGCUAGGAUGAGAUAAUCAUGUAAUGCCAAGAUAUAAUAAUCAGUGCCAAGAGGGGAUAAUCAUGUAAUGCUAAUAUAUAAUUAUAUAUUAUAUAAUAUUAUAUAUUAUAAUAUUGCAAUAUAUAAUAAGCAGUGUCAGGUUUAGACAGUCAAGCAGUGCCAUGAUGGGGUAAUCAAGCAGUGCCAAUAAUCAAGCUAUGUAAUGAUGAGAUAAUCAGUGUAAAAAUUAGAUAAGCAGUGCCAAGAUGGCAUAAUUAAGCAGUGCCAAAAUGAGAUAAUGUCAAGAUGAAGUAAAAAACAGUGUCAGGAUGAGAUAAUCAGUGCCAAGAUAAUUAAACAAUGCAGUAUAAUAAACAAGUGCCAGAGUGAGAUAAUUAAGGAGUGCCAAGAUUAGAGAAUUAAAGUGCUAAAGAUGAUCUCAUUGGGACAAGAAGCCAGCAUAAUUAUGAAAGCACCCCCCCUCCCCCCAGGCCAUCUACUGACCUUUCCCAGGAUGCAAUCCACAACAGUUGCCUAACUCCUGGGUUCCUAUAUACUGCUAGUUGAACAGAGACAUCAGGUGUAAGGAAAAGUCUCUACUGAAAAUUAAACAGGGGACCUUUCAACUGUGAACUGACUGUACUGACCAGGAGAUAAUAUUGCAACCUGUUGUACAAAAAGUACCUAUAGUUACUAAGGGUGGAAGUACAGUACAAAAUAUGAACUGUUGCACCCAAAGAGUCACAUUUUGUAGCAUUUUACAGUAUUCAUUUUGUAGAAGGCCCAAGAGAUGGGACCAAUCACAUUUAACUUUACCUAGGCCUAGUAUAGUACAUGAUGUACUAAAUUGCGCCUAAGAUUGCAAGUCAGGCUCAGCAUUGCUUAUUUAGAUCUUUGCAGGUUGUUUAGGUUUAUUCUGUUCCAGUUUGGUUUGCUCUUUAGUAUUCCAAAACUAACUUUUUAGGAUUAACGUAAUCCAUAUUUUGUACAUUCCGUCCACUGAAACUAUAAGUCCUAUAAAUUUUGUAGGUUGGGAUGUAAUAUAGCAGUGCUAGGAGAUAAUAUAGCAGUGCCAGGAAGUAAUAUAGCAGUGCCAGGAGAUAAUAUAGCAGUGCUAGGAAGUAAUAUAGCAGUGCCAGGAAGUAAUAUAGCAGAACCAGGAGAUAAUAAACAUCAGAGGGAAAGAAAUGAGUAUCAUAGGUAGGAAUCAAUAAAAAAUGAAAUCAUGCACCAGAAGAGAAGAAAAUAGUAGAGAAAUUAAUGCAAGGAAGAUAAGCAAUUGUAGUGCCAUUUAAAGCAAUGGUUCUCAAUAUGGGGCCAUGUCCCCAGGGUCUGUGGGGACUUUAAUGUGUGUGCUCCAAGGUGUGUCUAGUCUGUACAUGUUUCAAAGUUGCUUGACUGAUUAAAAACAACUUUGGAAUACACACACACACAUUAGAGAGAGCACCAAGAGGCCAUAAGGCCCACAUUGAAACUUUAAAUUAAUCAUUGCUAGGAAUAAAGAGUGAAGGGAAUGUGAACUGAUGCCCUAAGAGAAACUGGUGCCCAGAGAGAAUCUGGUGCCCAAAGAGAAACUGGUGCCCGAUAGAGAAAUGCUGGUGGUUACGAAGUUGUACUGGGGACCAACCUGCUAGAUGGGAGAAAAACUGGUGUCAAGAAAUACUGAUCAGGGGGAAGUAGCUGGUGUCCUGGGGAGAAACUUGUGUCAGAGUUGAUAUACCAAUGUCUGUUGGGGAGGAGGAAUCAUCAUCAUCAGGAAAAAGCCAUCCAAAUGCCAAUAAACCCGCUAAAAUGAGAUGGAAAAACUAGUGAAGUCUUGAGAUGAACAAUUUGUCUCUUCAAAAUCAAGAUGAACAUAAUCUAUCUAGUUGAUUCUUCAGUGCUGGAGGAUACUAUCCUGGUUGCAGUCAUGGGGCAGUGGUCCCAAGUCUUCCAGAAGCGAUGCAGUUGCUGCUUAUCUUGAAGUGAAAGUGAAGGCGAGGUCAGGUUAAACAUGUAUCUCGUUAUAAAUGCCUGCCAAAGAAUGUUGAACUAGUUAACUGAUGAGAGUUGAGACUUUCCCAAUACUAUGGGAAAAUUCAUUCUGACCAUGUUGAGAUUUCAAGGUCAGAAAGCACAUCUACAAGAUGGUAGAUGCAUCGGUCAUUGUGCCUAUAGCAUGGCAUGCACAAGCUUUUGCAAGUAAAUUCAUUCAAAAGAAUGAGUUACAAACCGCAAGCAUCCCAGUGUAGAUACACCCAUACAAAAAAAAAUCCCAUGCUAGGUCCAGAAUCCUAGAUGAAUAGUAACCAAAUUCUGUGACAAUGUUACUCCAACCUAAUUUGUAGUGAAAUUUCAGUUCACAUUUUAAAUCAGUACGCAGAACCACCAUACAAUUAUAAGUUGCCAAAAAAAUUCAUCUAUAUCAAUGUGCUAUGGAAAUAUUAAAAAUGUAGAAAUUAGUCUACUACAGUGUAGGGGUAAUGUAUAUGUCAGUGUUAAAUUAUACAUUUGCUAUACUGUAUAGUAUAUUUCAUAUUUUUUACCUAUACAUGCACUAAAGAAGAUAGCUAGUUUUGCAAAAUUUUGGUUUGUAAAUACAGUUUAAUGAUUAAGGUGCAGGUCAAGCUCAGUACAUUCCAGGUCAUAUACAUUUGUGCCAUUUAACCACAUUACUGUAUAGCUUUUAUUCAAUAGGUAGUCACUGUCAAGAUGGCCUUUUACAUUUUGGUUAUACACAGGCACUGAAGGGCAGGCCGCAGGUCUGGCACUGAAGGACAGGUCACAGGUCUGGCACUAAAGGACAGGUCACAGGUCUGGCACUAAAGGACAGGUCACAGGUCUAGCACUAAAGGACAGGUCACAGGUCUAGCACUAAAGGACAGGUCACAGGUCUGGCACUAAAGGACAGGUCACAGGUCUGGCACUAAAGGACAGGUCACAGGUCUGGCACUAAAGGACAGGUCACAGGUCUGGCACUAAAGGACAGGUCACAGGUCUGGCACUAAAGGACAGGUCACAGGUCUGGCACUAAAGGACAGGUCACAGGUCUGGCACUAAAGGACAGGUCACAGGUCUGGCACUAAAGGACAGGUCACAGGUCUGGCACUAAAGAGCAAUACUGUAACACCCGGUUCUGUUCUUGCUUACUGUGGAGGGGAAUGAAUGUACAGUACAGUAUUUACUUUUAUUAAAAUUUAGUUUAUCAAAGAGAUUUUAUUAAUAUCUAUUAAUCAUUAUUGACAGAAAUUGCCACAGAAUGAAAGAGUGAAGAUUAAUACUUGAACUUUGGGUUCUAAUUUAAUUAUCAGCAAUCGAAGUAGAAAAAUGUACAUGGAUCCUAAAUAUAAACUUUUAGGCAAUUGGGAACAUCUCUGAACAAGGGGUAAGUGCACUUACAGUGAGUUGGCACGAGUAAUCACCUCUAACCAGGUCACUCAGGAGACCACAGAUAACACACUCACUAUGCUCUUCCUUCUUCAUUCCCUCUCCCUAUCUUUAUUUAUUUAUUUAUUUAUUUAUUUAAUAUUAUUAUACACACACACACACACUCACACCUUCUUGACUGGCUUGAUUUCCUUUUCCUCCCCCAUACAAGGUGACACAAGGUCACUGUUACACGAGCAGUUUUGUCCACACCUCAUUUUGCCCCUGCUCAUCAACUUCACACCUUAAGUCAAACUUUGGUCUUCAUAGUGUUUAUUUUUAUAGGGACAUGUGCCCCUCUGUUCCCAUCCAGUAUUCAGUUGUUUAAGCGUUCAGUAGUGAUCGUAUUACUGUUCUCUGUUCUACUUGUUACAGCAGGUCAGGCACUAAAGGACAAGUUGCAGGUGAGGUAUCAAAAACAGGUUGCAGGUCAGGCAACUCUCGCCACAGAAAGUCAAGACAAACAAGACUUAGGUCAGACACAAGCUAGACUAGAAAAAACAUGCACAUGAAGCAAAUUAUAAUGCAGUUGCUUGUUUAGGACAUACUACCUUUCUGGUUGUUUUCAUCUUGGCUUGGUUUAUCUAGUAUCCCCACACUCGCUUUGCAUUUAAUGAGUGGACCAGAUCCUGUAUCUGGUCUCCAAUAGGUGCUUAUGACUUAACAAAAUAAAGAGAGCCUGGUAGGAUUUAUUAGGCUUCGAACCUAGGUAGCUUGGGAAGCCAAUGAGAGAAGGCCUUCCAGAAAACUAGCACCUGCUGUACCUGCACUGCUGGCUUGGAUGAAAUCACAAAAAUUUCAAGAACUUUAAAUAUACCAAAAUAAAAUGUUAAAAUAUAAUAAUUUAAAAAUAAUUCCCAAUAUCUGGGACAAGAAGCCUGUAUGUUGGUUUUUAUCAAGGUCUCCCUAGGUCAAACUACUGACCUUCCUGGGAUGCAACCCAUAACAUUUGCCCAACACCUGGGUACCUAUUUACUGCUAAAUGAACACACAAAUCAGGUAAAAGGAACUGUUCCCAACCGUUUCUGUACCAACCAGGGAUCGAGCUCAAGCUCCCCAAGUCGAGAACAUAGACCACUGAACUACGUGACCUAGUACAGUACAAAAUACAAUAAAUAAUCUACAGUAUUUUGUUUACCAUGAACAUGAAAAUCUCGUUCAUUUAUUUUCAAAGGUAUAGGGGUUACAUUUUAUUAUAAAUUGAUUUUCAUUUUCUGGAGGAUAUUCAUUCUUAAGCUGUACAAAAACCACAGUAACACACACCUAUAAAGGUGCAUUAUGGGUAACAAUUAAUAAUUUUGGAGAUCAGUGCCACACCCACCCAAGGGUCAUUUAUAUGGACUUCCAUUUUCAGAUCAAUUGAAAACAUCACCAAUGUACAGUGACACACUAUGCUACCUUUACCUCGCCCAUUAACCCUUAAACUGCACAAAAUGUCAUAUGAUGUGUGACAGUGAACUCAGUUUUUAACAUUUUCUGAAACUUUCAAAUGUUUUGUGCAUAAUCUACUAGGCAAAUGCUCCAAUUUUGUCUAAAGGCUACCACUGUAACUUG